rnacentral:rRNA from 1 species
GUGGGGAAUAUUGGGCAAUGGGCGCAAGCCUGACCCAGCAAUGCCGCGUGAAGGAAGAAGGCUUUCGGGUUGUAAACUUCUUUGACAGGGGAAGAGCAGAAGACGGUACCCUGAAAACAAGCCACGGCUAACUACGUGCCAGCAGCCGCGGUAAUACGUAGGUGGCAAGCGUUGUCCGGAUUUACUGGGUGUAAAGGGCGUGUAGCCGGGAAGGCAAGUCAGAUGUGAAAUCUGGAGGCUCAACCUCCAAAUUGCAUUUGAAACUGUUUUUCUUGAGUACUGGAGAGGCAGACGGAAUUCCUUGUGUAGCGGUGAAAUGCGUAGAUAUAAGGAGGAACACCAGUGGCGAAGGCGGUCUGCUGGACAGCAACUGACGGUGAGGCGCGAAAGCGUGGGGAGCAAACAGG